UACGUAGGGCGCAAGCGUUAUCCGGAAUUAUUGGGCGUAAAGAGCUCGUAGGCGGUUUGUCGCGUCUGCCGUGAAAGUCCGGGGCUCAACUCCGGAUCUGCGGUGGGUACGGGCAGACUAGAGUGAUGUAGGGGAGACUGGAAUUCCUGGUGUAGCGGUGAAAUGCGCAGAUAUCAGGAGGAACACCGAUGGCGAAGGCAGUGUUCUGGGCCGAAACUGACGCUGAGGAGCGAAAGCGUGGGGAGCGAACAGG
rnacentral:rRNA from 1 species